UACGAAGGGGGCUAGCGUUGCUCGGAAUCACUGGGCGUAAAGGGUGCGUAGGCGGGUCUUUAAGUCAGGGGUGAAAUCCUGGAGCUCAACUCCAGAACUGCCUUUGAUACUGAAGAUCUUGAGUUCGGGAGAGGUGAGUGGAACUGCGAGUGUAGAGGUGAAAUUCGUAGAUAUUCGCAAGAACACCAGUGGCGAAGGCGGCUCACUGGCCCGAGUACUGACGCUGAGG
rnacentral:rRNA from 1 species